UACAGAGGGUGCGAGCGUUAAUCGGAAUUACUGGGCGUAAAGCGCGCGUAGUCGGCUUUGCAAGUCGGGUGUGAAAUCCCCGGGCUCAACCUGGGAACUGCAUCCGAGACUGCAUUGCUAGAGUAUGGGAGAGGGAAGCGGAAUUUCUGGUGUAGCAGUGAAAUGCGUAGAUAUCAGAAGGAACAUCAGUGGCGAAGGCGGCUUCCUGGACCAAUACUGACGAUCAGGUGCGAAAGCGUGGGGAGCAAACAGG
rnacentral:rRNA from 1 species